rnacentral:rRNA from 1 species
AUUGAACGCUGGCGGCAGGCCUAACACAUGCAAGUCGAGCGGAUGAAGGGAGCUUGCUCCUGGAUUCAGCGGCGGACGGGUGAGUAAUGCCUAGGAAUCUGCCUGGUAGUGGGGGAUAACGUCCGGAAACGGGCGCCAAUACCGCAUACGUCCUGAGGGAGAAAGUGGGGGAUCUUCGGACCUCACGCUAUCAGAUGAGCCUAGGUCGGAUUAGCUAGUUGGUGGGGUAAAGGCCUACCAAGGCGACGAUCCGUAACUGGUCUGAGAGGAUGAUCAGUCACACUGGAACUUAGCCACGGUCCAGACUCCUACGGGAGGCAGCAGUGGGGAAUAUUGGACAAUGGGCGAAAGCCUGAUCCAGCCAUGCCGCGUGUGUGAAGAAGGUCUUCGGAUUGUAAAGCACUUUAAGUUGGGAGGAAGGGCAGUAAGUUAAUACCUUGCUGUUUUGACGUUACCAACAGAAUAAGCACCGGCUAACUUCGUG